rnacentral:rRNA from 1 species
CCUACGGGCGGCUGCAGUGGGGAAUAUUGCACAAUGGGCGCAAGCCUGAUGCAGCCAUGCCGCGUGUGUGAAGAAGGCCUUCGGGUUGUAAAGCACUUUCAGCGGGGAGGAAGGCGGUGAGGUUAAUAACCUUGGCGAUUGACGUUACCCGCAGAAGAAGCACCGGCUAACUCCGUGCCAGCAGCCGCGGUAAUACGGAGGGUGCAAGCGUUAAUCGGAAUUACUGGGCGUAAAGCGCACGCAGGCGGUCUGUCAAGUCGGAUGUGAAAUCCCCGGGCUCAACCUGGGAACUGCAUUCGAAACUGGCAGGCUAGAGUCUGGUAGAGGGGGGUAGAAUUCCAGGUGUAGCGGUGAAAUGCGUAGAGAUCUGGAGGAAUACCGGUGGCGAAGGCGGCCCCCUGGACAAAGACUGACGCUCAGGUGCGAAAGCGUGGGGAGCAAACAGGAUUAGAUACCCUAGUAGUC